rnacentral:rRNA from 1 species
AGAGUUUGAUCCUGGCUCAGGACGAACGCUGGCGGCGUGCUUAACACAUGCAAGUCGAACGGAAAGGCCCUUCGGGGUACUCGAGUGGCGAACGGGUGAGUAACACGUGGAUGAUCUGCCCUGCACUUUGGGAUAAGCCUGGGAAACUGGGUCUAAUACCGAAUAUGACCAUGCGCCUCCUGGUGUGUGGUGGAAAGCUUUUGCGGUGUGGGAUGGGCCCGCGGCCUAUCAGCUUGUUGGUGGGGUAAUGGCCUACCAAGGCGACGACGGGUAGCCGGCCUGAGAGGGUGACCGGCCACACUGGGACUGAGAUACGGCCCAGACUCCUACGGGAGGCAGCAGUGGGGAAUAUUGCACAAUGGGCGCAAGCCUGAUGCAGCGACGCCGCGUGAGGGAUGACGGCCUUCGGGUUGUAAACCUCUUUCAGCACAGACGAAGCGCAAGUGACGGUAUGUGCAGAAGAAGGACCGGCCAACUACGUGCCAGCAGCCGCGGUAAUACGUAGGGUCCGAGCGUUGUCCGGAAUUACUGGGCGUAAAGAGCUCGUAGGUGGUUUGUCGCGUUGUUCGUGAAAUCUCACGGCUUAACUGUGAGCGUGCGGGCGAUACGGGCAGACUUGAGUACUGCAGGGGAGACUGGAAUUCCUGGUGUAGCGGUGGAAUGCGCAGAUAUCAGGAGGAACACCGGUGGCGAAGGCGGGUCUCUGGGCAGUAACUGACGCUGAGGAGCGAAAGCGUGGGGAGCGAACAGGAUUAGAUACCCUGGUAGUCC